rnacentral:rRNA from 1 species
UACGAAGGGUGCGAGCGUUGUUCGGAAUUACUGGGCGUAAAGGGUUUGUAGGCCGAGAUGUAAGUCAAGUGUGAAAUCCCCGAGCUUAACUUGGGACGUGCAUUUGAAACUACGUUUCUUGAGUCUCGUAGAGGGUGGUGGAAUUGUAGGUGUAGGAGUGACAUCCGUAGAGAUCUGCAGGAACAUCAGAGGCGAAAGCGACCACCUGGACGAGUACUGACGCUGAGGAACGAAAGCGUGGGGAGCGAACAGG